GACGAACGCUGGCGGCGUGCUUAACACAUGCAAGUCGAGCGGAAAGGCCCUUUCGGGGGUACUCGAGCGGCGAACGGGUGAGUAACACGUGAGUAAUCUGCCCUUGGCUUUGGGAUAACCACCGGAAACGGUGGCUAAUACCGGAUAUGACGGGCUCCGGCAUCGGGGUUCGUGGAAAGUUUUUUCGGCCAGGGAUGUGCUCGCGGCCUAUCAGCUUGUUGGUGGGGUAAUGGCCUACCAAGGCUUCGACCGGGUAGCCGGCCUGAGAGGGUGACCGGCCACACUGGGACUGAGACACGGCCCCAGACUCCUACGGGAGGCAGCAGUGGGGAAUAUUGGACAAUGGGCGGAAGCCUGAUCCAGCAACGCCGCGUGAGGGAUGACGGCCU
rnacentral:rRNA from 1 species